CAACUAUUAAGCAUAGCUUAGUGCUGGGAACUUACGUACUUGUAAUUCCUUAAAAUCAGUGGCAGAGUUUGAUUACCUCUGGGUGUAGUAAUAUUUAUCUCGCUUUAGGUGGUGGUUUAGCCCUUGUCAUAAACCUCUUAUUCUUCAAGUGG
rnacentral:misc_RNA from 1 species